CAUUGUGUUGGCUGCCUGCUGCCCAGACAGCGGGGUGAGCUCAGGACAGAGCCCUGCUUCAGCAUGAAUGCCUCUGCCUUCUCUUGCGAACACAUUCCCUCCGCCACUUAAGAAUGCACAGAGCAUUUGCCAGGUCGGGAAUGCCUGGGUAUGACAGCACCAUUUGCAAAGUAAAGAGUCUAUUUAUGAAGAUAAUGGCAAUAUCCAGGCCAAGCCCACCGUGGGAGAACCUUGGCUCCUAAUUAGCAAGAGCAGUGCAUUUUAAUGAGGACGCCUCGGCAGGCAGUUGGCUCCUGCCUUGACUGCCAACAAAUCUGGGGCAGAGGGAGUAUUGGCAGA
rnacentral:lncRNA from 1 species